CAAUAGCGUAUAUUAAAGUUGUUGCAGUUAAAAAGCUCGUAGUUGGAUUUCUGGUGGGAGCGAUCGGUCUGGCGCUUAGCGCGAGUACUUGCAUCGUCUCCGGCCAUCCUUGGGGAAAGUCUGUCUGGCAUUAAGUUGUCGGGCAGAGGAUCCUCAUCGUUUACUGUGAAAAAAUUAGAGUGUUCAAAGCAGGCUUAUGCCGUUGAAUAUAUUAGCAUGGAAUAAUAAGAUAGGACUUUGGUACUAUUUUGUUGGUUUGCGCACCAAAGUAAUGAUUAAUAUGGACAGUUGGGGGUAUUCGUAUUCCGUUGUCAGAGGUGAAAUUCUUGGAUUCACGGAAGACGAACUACUGCGAAAGCAUUUACCAAGGAUGUUUUCAUUAA
rnacentral:rRNA from 1 species